GAACAAAUGAGGCAAAUAUCGACCGAAGUCCAGACAUGGCAGCAAAAGGCUCGAUAUGCAGAGUCGGUAGCGAAUGUACUCAAGGGCAACAUCAAGCAAGCGAUAGCGCAGGCUGCUGCUCAGGGCAAGGAAGGAUGUGGUGACAGUGAAGUCGACAAUGCGGCCUCGUCCUACCACCCUUGCUCUGGGCCUGUGAGCGAGCAGAGUGCUUGCAAGUCGUGCAGGAACAAGGAGGCUUGCAUUGUGCUGAUGCCAUGCAGGCAUCUGUGUUUGUGCGAGGACUG
rnacentral:misc_RNA from 1 species